rnacentral:rRNA from 1 species
UACAGGGGGUGCAAACGUUGCUCGGAAUUAUUGGGCGUAAAGCGCACGUAGGCGGUUUGUUAUGUCGGAUGUGAAAGCCCUUGGCUCAACUGAGGAAGUGCAUCCGAAACUGGCAAGCUAGAGUAUGUAAGAGGGUCGCGGAAUUCCCGGUGUAGAGGUGAAAUUCGUAGAUAUCGGGAGGAACACCGGUGGCGAAAGCGCUCUGCUAGACUGCAACUGACACUCAGGGACGAAAGCUAGGGGAGCGAAUGGG